UUACGGUGAUAUCACGUUGAAACACGGGUUCCUAUACGAUUACUGAAGUUAAGCUACGUCGAGUCUGAUCAGUAUCUAGAUGGGUGACCGCUUGGGAAUACCAGGUGCGGUAAG